ACAGAUGAAAAUUGCCUCAGGUCUAUUAGUAGCCUGAGGUGAGAUAACUGUGCCUAAAGUAUACUGGUUCAUUAAGCUUAUUGCCUGUUAUUAUUGUGACAGAGCGAUAAAACCCUUGUUCCCACAUUU